rnacentral:lncRNA from 1 species
GGGCGGCCGGGCACGUGCGCGAGCGCGCGCGCGAACACAAACACAACACACUUACUCGUUUUCGGAUGCAAAAAACGAAGUACUUUAUUUCCAGAUCCCUGGUCCGGCUCUGGCAGAGCACCGCCGGGAAAACACUAGAACUCACUACAAGAUAACCUGAAGGACUGGACCAAGGGAGGAUGGGAGGGGGCUCAGGGGGCGGAGCUUGGACUGAACCAAACUGACUUCGGGGGAAACCCUAAGCCGGGGGGAAAGGGGGGGUGCUGGGCGGCGCGGGACGGGCGGGCAGAUAGUCUCGAGCACCACAUCGGAGGUCUUGAGGCACUGCGGACUGCCGCCGGGUCCUAAGCAGGAGCAAAGGGGAGGGGCGCGCCGAAGUUGAGGUCGAGGUGUCCGGGAGCUCUGCCUGCAGGUGACCGGCGGCCAGGGUCCGAAGCGGGUGAGGCGAUUGGAGGGCCCCACCGAGCCUAGCGGCUUCGCAGGGUAGCGGGCACCGAGUUCCAGAGCCGCCCACCCCGGGAAGAACUUCGCAGCAGGGCUAGUAACACGGCCGCCCCGCCCCUCCCCGCCCCAGUUUUCCCACACCGCACAGCCAGCCCCCGCCCCGCCUCGGCCCCGCCCGGCCCGGCCCGCCGCUUCACUCGGGCGGGGCUCGGAGCUGGUACUCCGCCGAGGCCACCUGGUAGUCGGCGGGGGUGAAGAGCUGGGCGGGCUUGGCCGCCAGGUAGGCCAGGAAAUCCUGCAGGUGGCCCAGGAGCACGUCGAGGCUGUGGUCAUCCAGGCCCGAGUAGACCAGCGCCGAGCCGAUCUGCACGAAAAGGCGCAGCAGGUGGGCGCCGCCGUAGAUCUGAGACAUGGGGCAGCCCGGGUAGCGGCCCAGGAUCUCCAAGUACUGGGGCCUCUCGAACUUGUAGAGCAGCUGGGUGCCCAGCAGCACGUUGAAGUACUCCCUGAUGCCCGCCACCAGCUCGGGGGUGGCGUACUCCUUGGCCGCCACGGCGGGCAGCCUGAAGAGCUUCUUGUCGUGGGUCACCAGCUCCCAGUCUCGAACGAGCAGGGGCUUCAGGGCAUCGGGCAGGGGCACCUUGAUCUCCCUCCUUUUGGGGGCCCCAACCCCCAGGCGCCUGGGCGCCACAAGCGGGGGUGGGGGUGGGGGUGGGGGCGGGGGCGCCACGUCGUCGCCCCUCCCCCCACUGCCCUCUCCUCCCCCUGUGGCCCCGGCGCCCCAGCUGCAGCCCUCCCCCCAGUCAGAGGCCUGGCCCGAAGCCCCCCAGGGGCCCCAGGCCGCAGCGGAUGCUGCAGCAGCUGAGGCCUCGUGCUGGCCCAGGUCACUGCUGCUGCUGGUGCUGCUGCAACUGCUGCCCUCCGGCUCCUUCCCCAUGGUGUUGCAGUAGCGGAGCACACGGCUCUCCGGGAUCCACUCGUAGUGCCAGCACGCCACCGGCCCGAUCUCCUCGCUCAGGCCUGCACCGGUGCCGGCCAAACUGGUACCAGGCACGGCGGCACCACCGCUGCAGUCAGAGGGGUGGGCCCUGGCACCUCCCGCCACCUCCCCACUGGGCCCGCUCUCCACCUGGUACCGCACCAGGUACUUGACCUGCCGGUCUUCCACCACUGCCCGGAUACACUCGGCCUCCCGCAGCAUGGGCCCGUGGAAGGUCAACACUCGCUCCCCCUCUUGGACAAUGGGCAAGGCCCGGAUUUUCUUACUCUCCUCCUUGGAACACGCCAUGGCUCAGCUGGGCCUGGAACCGGACGGGGGACCAGAGCCGGAGUUGGCCAGAGCACGUGGGCGGCCACACAGGGCCCACAGGGACAGCUCAGGAGCUUGCUUGCUCGCUGGUCGCGGGCACCCUCUCGGCUGGCUGGACUUGCGAGAAAAGAGCUGUUAGCCUGCUGCUCCCCCACAGACGCUCUGAGUAAGCCCAAGUGCGCGUGGCCACUGGCGCAGGCGCAGAAAUGCCUGCGCAGCCCCCCACACCUUUUUUUUGGAACAAUGUAUCGCUUGAAGGCUGGUUUCUAGAAAAUGCUGGGACGGGUACUCCAAAGGCCCUAAAUUAGCUACAGUUCUCUAUGCUGCAGAGGGGGUUGUGGCGGUGCAUCCUAACAAGUCACGCCUUCAUCUGGUGCCUCAAUUUCCCCAUCUCAAAAAUAUCCCAUAAAUACCAGAUCCUCUCCGGUCCUUCUUUCCUACCUACUUUUCUGACAAUUUGGACCAAGACCCGUUGGCAUAGCAGGAAGGUUGUUGUCUUUGGAGUCAAAGGGUCUGGAUUCAAAUCUACACCCUCCUGCUUCCUAGUCAGAAUAUUUCAGACAGCAGGCCUGAGUUUUAUCCUCUAUGAAAGGGGAGGGGGCACAGGCCGUAUUGGAGGGUCUCCAAAGCCCCAGCAAGCU